ACGGAGGGAUUGAACCUCCCUUGGGCCAAACGAGGCGCUGAUCUAUGAUUCCUCAAUGUUAUCAAAACACCACACGCAGUAAAAAGGAUGCAAAUGACCAGCCAUUCUCGUCGGUGUCUCUCUCCUUAACCAGAACACAAAACGCGAAAUCACGUCACCUACUUCGAUUCCAAAAUCAACACUAACAUAAUCACAUAAAAAUUAUCCACACACACUCGAUUCGAUGACUAAACCUCACGAGUAAGCACGGAUUUGGAUCGACAACAAUCGAACGGAUCUCCAAGCUUCGCGGCGAGCUAUGGCGAGCAUCAAUCGAAUCCUUAAGUCGUUGUAUUUCAUCAAGAUUAAGCAUAAAAUUGCGUUAGCGUGUACCUCUUAGAAGUUCAACGUGAGACGAUUUCCAGUGAUGAAUGAACCAAGAAGAACUUUCAAAGCUCCAGUUUGAAGCAAGUUGAAGAUGAUGAAGAUGGGAGCGCAGGAAUUCUUCGCGUGCAGGUGAGAAUGGUUGGUGUAAAAACCCCCCCUCUUGCGAUGCCAUUUCAGAUUGCUUUAUAGAGUUAAUCAAUAGGGGUAGUUUAGGACUUGUGAUUGAAGUUUGUUAUGAAAGUUUUGGAUUUGCAGCUGGUCGCGUUUCUCAUUGCGUUUUGCACCAUUUCCGUGCAUAUUUGUAUUUCAACAUUGAGAUUCUCUUCAAAUUGCAUUGUUUUUUUGUA